CCAUGAGCCUUUUUGAAAUAAUAAUAUUGUCGACCCCCAGUUGUAUGUGCCCAAGGAGAUGGCAAACUUGAGAAACAAGAAUAAUCCUUUCAGCUGGUUUAAAGCUGAGCCCUCACCCUUGGAAUUAAGAAACUGACAAAGGAUGCAAGUUCUUGGUUUAAGGAGCCAAUGGUGUGGUUCCCAGGGACCCCCCCAAAUACACUUCCAAUCUGUUUCUGGAGGACCUGACCUGUAACUCCUGACAAUAUGUUCUGAAUGCUGAAGGAUGGAGAUACACUUUGGAGUAAGAUUCAUAUGAACUUUCAUAAAUUCUUGGGCCAAUGGACUCAAGCCCCUCAUUCAAAGUAAACACCAGAAGAGACUUGGUGUUUUGUGAAAUGGCACAUUCCAAAAUCUCUGUCACUGAGAAAAGGAUGUAAGCUCAGGAUCAAAGCAUCGUCUUCAAAGAAGG